CCGCCAGCGCCGCGCACUCACUUUCCAGAUAGUCUUCUAGGUACAACAUCGCGGCCCUUAGAGCUGAGGGAACAAGGGGGUCCAGGGGUUUAUUUGUGUCACUCGCUGUCGCCGGAGUUUUGUCCCCUCCAAUAUGGCGCCUCCGCUAGCAGCACCCGCUCGACUCCGGACCACUUUGGCGCCUGAGGCGCUUGCCUCACUGCCGCCCGGAGCUGCUAUUG
rnacentral:lncRNA from 10 species